ensembl:lncRNA
CAAUCCGGCACCAGCUCAAUUAGUAGGCGUUCCCGCUGUGUCUUUCAAGGCGGAACAUGGUCCACUGGCCAGCUGCAUCCAUCUCCUGUACACGUCUGCAGACCUGCACGGAGGCCGCGACGACGGCGCAUGCAAGAGCACACACACAUGACCUGUAAGAUAUUCACCACCUCCACCACUCAACACCACCUCUCGGGCCAAGCAAGCGAGGGCCAAAACAAAGACGCUGUCCACAACAGCCGCCUACACACCCAGAAGACACACGGUGAUGAGUGAUGACGGACGGGCGCGCCGGCCACCGGGGGAGGAUUAAAGGCUGCGACGAGGCGGAGCUAACAAACCCUGGAGGACGGCUCCGCGCGGAGAAGCUGCCCCCUGAACUCGGCCCCCCGGAGAUGAGUUUCCCCAUACUGGAAGGCAGAAGGCAGCGGGACUGUUAAACGGGAGGAUAGACUGCGCUUUAGAGACUGGUGUGCCUAGAGCCCAGUGCACAGGUGGGCUGUUUGAAAUGCAGAGCAGGGAAUGUGAGCGUGUGUGUGUCUGUGCGUGCGUGCGCGUGUGUGUGUGUGUGUGUGUACUGCCUUCGGAUGGGUUGCUAUCAUAGUCAGACACCUGGCGGACACUGAUUGGACGGGAGCAUCCCCCUGGCCACCUUGUCUGUUGGCCAAGAGGUGCGAGUGUGUGUGUGUGUGUGUGUGCGUGUCCGUGUGCGAUAACCACAAUGCGAUUCUACAGCCACAUCGUCAGUGUGUUUGUGCCUAAGUUCAUCUCUAAUUCAAGAUGUCAUUUGAUCAAAAAAAAAGCAGCAGCCAACCACUGGAUGUACUAUCUCAAUGUGUGCGUUUGUGUGUGAAACAAGAGACGAAAUGAAACAAAAAAGGAAACCAUACGCGAUGACGCGCUUCACAGGUUCUAAAUAUUCUGAUAUUGAAGAGUUAAGAAAAAAAAAAUGGACAGUAUUUUAAUAUAAUGCUCUUAUCUUCGGAGAUGUAUUUUGAUGUGCAUUAUGACUAUACGGCAUCAUUGCGUCACCCUUGGUAUAUGUCAGGCUUUGUUGUAAUUCAGAAAAAUUUAAAAUAAAAUAAAAAGAAGUUAAAAAAAAACAAAAAAAGAUAGCUCUGUUUAAGAGUGUAACUCCAUUUCAACUGUGUGCACAUUGAAUAUGUACAGAAGACGCCGCCAUCAUCACUCGACAGGUUGCAGAUCAGGGUCCGAGGGUCCAACCGGGGGUCAUUUCACGUCACCUCUCAUCUAUGUACAGUUCAGAAGUAUUACUGUUGAACACGACGUGCGAUUAUUUCACCUACCACAGCAACUCCGAACGAUUUACAGUUAAUACAGAUUCCACAUCACACCGAUAUCAAAUGUAGCCUCCCUCACUCCAUACUAAGUAACAAUGGCCUGUACAGGGUGUCAGUCUAAGUACCGGGCAUAUCAAAAAUGAGACAUAUUAAAGUAUUAGAGCAUAAAAUAAAGUGCAAAAAACACCACACCAAACGUUCCCUUUUAUGAAGCUCAUUAUUUAAUGGUGUAUAUAAGUAUUUGAUGCUGUUUAAAUGUAAGAUGUGAUGUACUAAUAUAAUUGUGUAUAGUAUUUCCUAGAGAUGUUUAUUUUCUAUAAAAUGGAAUAUGUUAUUGCUUAUAAAAUGUUAUUAAAGAAUCCAUUGAUGAAAAAAAGAACCUUUUUUGGGAAUGUCACUUGUCAUAAGCAUGCCGUUUUAUUGAUUUUCAUGUCUAUUUGUUUGGAAUCGAUGACACAGCAUCACUUUGUUUGAAAUGUUUUUUGUAACGCCAAUGUUAAAUAUACCAGCACCUUUCAAUGCUGCUAUGACCAACGCCUGCUCUUUUU